rnacentral:lncRNA from 1 species
GGAACUUGGCUCCAGAAGCCAUGAGAAUAACUUUGUUCCAACACAUUCAGGCUGCGACUGAAGCUGAGAGGCUUUUUUCCCAGUCAUCUUGACCACAAGAUCAGUUCUCUCUGUGAACAUAAAGACAAAAUCGCUGUGACACCAACAGACAGAUUUUUUAAAAAGUGGAAUCCAUGUCUCAUAUAAACAAUGUGCUACUGCCUGCCAUCGAGUUCUCUUCCCUCGUUUUCCUUUUUGAAGACUUAACCCCUUUCCCAAAGGGACAUGUGCUCAGGUUUCUUGAUUCCACAGCAAUCCCUUCUGUUGUGUAAGGCAAACUGAUCACCUUUCAUAACAAGACAAGAAGUGAUUUAAAUCAGAUGGUGACCCAACGACAAUGUCUGUGCUGUGUCCUAUGGAGAAAACCAAAGCUGAAAUCCAGUAACAGGUGAUAGGAAGAUGUGGAGAUAGAAACUGACCUGAAUUCUGAAAAACAACAAGAGAAAAGGAAGUCUGAGAACAAGCUGGUGUUCUUCCAAAACCUGUUCAUUGUGUGAAUUCCUAGAAGAUAGCGUGACACCCAGAAACAGGCUGGAGUGACACACCCAAACAAUUAUGCUACCUGGAUCUGCCAAGGCAGGAGGACAAACUCAGCAGCCUGGAGAAUGGAGGACACAGUCCAGACUUGGUGAGCCAACCUAUUGAGUUCUAUGAUGAGACCAAACGUUUAAUAAUUCUCUUCUAUUCUAAAACUUGUCUCUCAGCAACAACACCUGAGGUCUCCAGCUGAGGUUCCUCUCUGAAGGACAGUUGCACUUCAGGUCAUGCUGCAGUAUGAGAGAAGGCAGUGUGACAUCUUAAGGUUCUAAUGCUCACACCUGUCUCAGUGAAGCAUUUUUACAGAGUAAUCACCACCCCCCUCACACCCCCAACAGUGU